rfam:Triticum aestivum genome assembly, contig: Triticum_aestivum_CS42_TGACv1_scaffold_392481_5AS
GGAUACGAUCAUACCAGCACUAAAGCACCGGAUCCCAUCAGAACAUCGAAGCUAAGCAUGCUUGGGCGAGAGUAGUACUAGGAUGGGUGACCUCCUGGGAAGUCCUCGUGUUGCAUUCC